UGAAAACGUACACUUUGUUUGUGGAGAUCUUCUCUUCUGGAGUGGUUGCAGCUUCCACUUAAAAAAUCAUCAUUCCUGAAGUUUUCAGUCUUCCAGGCCACGGUGAUGCAGCUGCAUGUAUACAGAUAUAUCCAGUUGUCUUCUGGAAGAUCUUUUUUAGCUUUCUGUACAGAUAUUUUCUCUCUAGAUUCCAUUGUGUUUACUAGCCACCCAGUGCUCAUCUUGAAGCCUUCUGUAAAAAAAAUACAGCACUCUUUUUAUGAGGUCAGUUAUUAUGGCUUUGUUUAAGGGUGAACUAUAAAAUAACAUAAGAAGGAUGAAUGGUUUUCCAUAUGCAGUGCUGGAUCGGGACUCUAGAUUUGAUGUGUUUUCUCUUUGUAAUGUGGCUUGUGAUAUAGUGUUAGGUAAGUCUCUGGUUCUCUUCUUAUAGAAUCAGAAUGAUAAAUUUCCUUUAUCUUCUCCAAUGAACUCGGGUUGUUGGAUUGUUUAUUAUAUGUUUGUAUAGUGUUCAGCAGAAUGAGACCUUUACCUCAGAUGGGGCCUCUAAUUAUUGCUAUGAUACUGGUGAUAACAAAUAUCUCAGGUUUUCAGUUAUAAUGAGCUAGCAAGGAAGGAGCAGUCCAUAAGGGAGCUAAAACUCCAGACUCUUCUAAUUUCUAGUUUGGAGUAUCUUCAAAUCCUGUUUUGACUUCACUAGGAUAAAUGUACUUUACAUGCUGGGGUUCUUCUUUCUGUUUUGUGUAUACCUCUUGGGACAGCAGGAUGUUGAACUGUGAACAGUCUCCAGACAACUGUCAAAAACAGAAACUUGUUGAAUAAUAAGUUCUGUUCCCAAAUUAGAAGACAAAGAGCAAAAAAGACAAAGGAAAUUAUUUACCUUUUCACAGCUAGACCCAAGCAAGACAACUGCAGAAAGAUGGUAUUGCUUUCUCUGCGUUAUCAGGACAACAAAUUACCUUGAUACCUUUCAAAGAGUGAGGACAGCAUUUGUUGUAUUUUGGCUCAUCCUGUUUGCAUUGCUCAUACCACGUUUAUAUAUUUGGUGUCAUGUUAUAUAUUUAAAAUGCUGGUUAUCCAGAAGCCUGGUAUAGUUUUGGCUGAGGAGCAGAUCCACGACUGAAGAAGACGAGUCCUUGUUGUGUUGCUCUCUGUUUCAGCUCAAAUCAGCAGAAUCUUCUUCAUAAUUGCUGAAGACACCUUUCCUCUUUCAAUUAAAUUCUUACCUGUUCCCUUGAUUGCUCUAUUUCUGACUCCACUAAUUUGGUAACUCCUAAUAAGCUCUGACUAAAAAGUCAUCAAAGUCACUCUUGGGUGUGAACCCAGUGCUUCUUAACCACCUUUGGCUUUUAUUGCCAUUUGCAGAAUGGAAUUUGUAGGGAGGAUUGUUUGUCAGCCUAUCACCUAAUCAUUAGGAGGGUGACAAGACCACAGUAACUUUUCCUUGGCAAUUAUGUAUGAAAGGUUGUCAGUGUGAGUAGUAUGGGAAGUUAAAAGCCUUAAUUUUCAUUUGGAAUUGAAACCCUAAUGACUUUUCACUCCCACAGAUCAUAAAGCUCUUGCUUCAGCCUCAAGUUGACCAAAAAAAAAAAAAAGAAGGAAGCUCUUCUAUUUCAGACUUUUUGAGGAGUUUUUAUAAUGAAAAAGCAGCUUUAUGAGUCACUGUUCUUUGUAUAAAAGAUAAUUACUGGAGCACGAACUCAAGAAAAAUGGCAUUUUAUGAUUUUGUGGCUAUCCAUGCAGUGUAAGCUUUUGCUUUCUCUCUUUUCAGUUAGUUAGGUUAAACAGAAUCUUGGUUCAAAAGGACUAAUUAUAUUCCUGUUUGUUGUUUGCCUUGUGCACUAAAUGUUUUCUAUAUGUAAAGCUAAGCAGCAGGGGCCUGGGAGGAAAGGAUCACCUCGAAUGAAUACUGUUUAAUUAUUUAUAAUCAUGGGUGCAAAUCCUGUGGGUUUGUGGGUAUUGUAUUCAGUCACAUCCAUCACUUGCUUGCAUCGCAGUAAGGAAUAGAAAGUCCUUUUGUUAACCCUAAGAAGCAUAAUUAUAUUCCUUAAUCUGUACUUAAAUUUAAGCUAUGUACCUACCCACUUCUUGUGUAUAUAUAUAUAUUUUUUUCUGUAAGCAUGGGAGUAUUUUGUAGCAAAACUGUAUGUGCUGUCUAAAGAAGUGGGAGCCAAGUGUGGGUGCAGAAGUGCAGGUGGCACGUACAGGUCACAGCCCUGCUUGGCUCUGCAGUAGUAGAUCAAAGGUUUGCAAAAUGACAAGAGGUCCUGGGAUCUUACUUCUUAGGGAUCCACCUGAAAUACCUUGACGAGCAUCUUCUGUUUGAAGGACAGGUGCUUAGACUUUUCAGAAUAUUAAGUAUUCUGAACUAGAUUUAGACUUUGCUUUUGGAAAUGAGUAGCUAAUUCUCUUUGCUUGUGGCUCUGUACCUGAGAAAGUGUUGCUGCAGUUAUAUUGACAUCAGAAGUCCAGUGAGCUUUGCAGUCCCAAUGUUGUGCAGUAGUCAAAUCUGCUCAGAGUCCUAUAAAAUGAGGAGCAGAUCAUGUAAACAGCAGCUGAUUCAGUUGUUCCCCAUGUGGAAAGGCUUCUGUUUUUCCUUUCAGUCCAUUACAGCAUCUUGCCAGGUUGGACAGAGAAGACGGAAAAUCAGCUGUCCUGUUCUUCCAUUCUGUCUCAUUUGGAUAAAAAUAGAGGGCUGUCUUUUAUUGAUUUGUUUUUUGCAGUCUGAAGUGAGGAAAACACAAUAGUUUUGGGAAAGGCUUGGAAUUGGCCCCAUAAAAGGACUGUUACAUAGAGGGUAAGACUCCCUGAAUGUUACAUUUAAGGACAGCAAUGCUUUUCUUUUUAAAUGAACAGGUUUCAUAUCUAAAUUUAAACUAAAGCCAUAUCAAAACUAACGAAAGCAGAAGCCUUAUUCUAUCUUGAAGGGUGUGCUUUGUUGAGCCUGAGGGCAGUGUGGAGUUUGUCCUGGCACGGCGGCUGUGAAGGUGCCCAUCCUCUGGGCCUACUGCAAGUUGCUAGAGAGCAGGAGGGCAGCGGGGGGAAUAACUUCCUCUGAACUUGGCUGAGCUCUUUAUUUCCUUGAUUCUCACGGUGCCGUUGUGCAGAGCUGAUAAGGGAAAUGUCCUCUUAAUGGUAGAAGAGUGGUCAGCAGGAAUUGCAUGCCCAGCUCAAGGUGGAGUUGGAGACCGCUGGGAAAAGGUGCAGCAGGUGCUUGAUGAAAGAGAAGGAGUGAAUGAGUUAGCCAAAAUUGUGGUUUGGGAGCUAGCUGUAGAUUUCAACAGUCAAUUUCAUUCAACUGGAUUGAACUCCCUCCAACGCAGCAUUGAUGAUGAUGCCUGGAGGUACAAAGAUUGUAUUUUGAUCAGCAAGUCAAAAGCAAGUCUACCUGUACUUACGAACGUGUUUCCAGAAUUGCACAUGAAGGAGAUCUCAUAAUAAUAGUAAUAAUAAUGGGCAGAAAAAGUUGCUUGAAGGAAUGAGUUUCCUCUCUGAAUGCUGGUGAAGGCAUAGUCCUGAACCUUGCAUGUCUUCCCAUCUCAGCUUUCUGAAAGUGUGUGAACAGAUCCAUUACCUGAGUUUUGCACGGAAAUGCUGAGUGAACAUAAUGCAAGAUGACAGGAAAGCCGAUAAUGACGGAGUUUUGAAAACACAAAUAGAAUCAUAGAAUCGCUUAGGUUGUGUAUGGCAACUGUUGUCAUGGCCUGAACCACUGAUUGAUCACCUGGGGAAAAGACCAGCUCAGCCCUGGGAGCACAGGUGAAGACAAUUCAGCUGUAUGACCGGAAGGGAUGAAGCCUGGCUGCACCUCUCUUAGAUCCCACUUAAGGGCUGAUUGCCACUGGGAAAGGAUUUCUGGUUGGAGAUCCUCCCUUGUGGAGUUUUUUCUGUGAGCCUGGAUCUUUGGAGAUGGGAAUCUGCGUUUAAUGGUGUGUCAGUGCCUUAUGGAAUUCAACCUGGCAUUUGUUUUACUGGGGAGCGGUUUGGCGACAAGCUGCCGAUGCAGAUUUAUUUGGGAUCCUUUCCUGAAGCGCUCCCAUCUCUUUCCCCUCCCCCAAAUGUGCUUGGGAGAAGAAAUAAAUUAAUUACAUCAAAUAGAAGGGUCCAUUUUCAGCAGCACUGGCAACAAGAGAGGCACGCUGGGAAGCACUGGCUUUUCUUGCCCCUGCGUGCUGUGUGGAGAGCUGUGAGAGAGGAACCCUCAGCUCUCCGGGGCAGAUGCCUGCCAUGGGAUGAUUUGUGGCUGUGAGGUCCGCUGCUCCACGCGCUCUCCCGCCGUUCCCGCUGCUCGUGGCCGGGACGAACAAUUAGCUGGAGCAGUUUGUCUGGCAAGUCAGUGCCAUCUGUGCUGGGAGCAUUGUGUGCUGCACAAAGGAUCUGGAGGGGAUGAGGGCUACAUCUUUAAAAAUGGGAAUACGCACAAUUGAGUGGGAGAAAGGAUGCUGUCACCUGCUUCUAACUGAAUGUGGGACUGCUUGCAUUGUUCCCUCCAAAAACGCUUGGUGUCACUUUUAUUACCUGCAGCCAUGCCAGGGCUCUGUAGCAUGCCAUUUAUUUGGGGACGUGGUAAUAGAUUCAGUCAUUCUGCCUGCUGCUGAUAUGUCUUGUUUUGUUUAUAUAUAUUUUACAGCUUUCAGCCUGGCAGUUUUGUCUCUCGGGUAAUUAAACUGAAUUAUUGAAGGCUCUGAAAUUAACACUCUCAUUUUUAAUAAUUAAAAUAAAGUAAAUCCCAGCCUGUUUCACAAGUUAGGUUAUUUCCUCUUCCUGAUUUUAAGGUGCGUGUGAAUUUGUUUGGAAGAACGUGAGCACUCAGAUGGCUUGUUUUUAAAACUUUGUUUAACAAAAAGAGAGGGGAAAACCCUCUCUUUCCUGCAAGGUCAGUAAAACCAUCCAACUUGCAGAGAAUUCUGAGCAGUAGGUAGGGGAGUUCAGUGUAUGGUAGGCGCUGCUGGGAGGAAUCUUUCCUGCCUGCAGCUCCAGGCAAAUACAUGUAAAAUAGAGUAGGAGUGUGGGAUAAUAUCCUAGAGCAAGGAAGGAGCUUUGCAGAUCGACUAUUUUCAGUUUUUUCUUAUAACGCUGCCCUUUUUUUUACUGACUCAAUUGCAUCGUAUGUUUUGAACACUUAAAAAAAAAAAAAAAAAAUCCAUCAAAUAUUUGAAUUUCAUUUUUUAAGUUAAUAUUGGAAUUUCCUAUUGGCUGUAAAUUUGGGAAUAUUCCUAGCGUGAUGUUUGAGAAUCAUAGAAUGAUGGAGCUUUGUUUGAGUAACUCCAGUGUUAAGAUUGAGGUUCUGGUCUUCGUUCUCUAACUCUGGGCCAACUGCACUCAGCCCCAUUUCUGUGAAUGACUUGGGCUUAUUUCUCUUGACAAGGCUUUACAGAACCUGCCUUUGUAUUUCAAAUUUUGCUGUUUUGUGCUGAGUUAGGAGCUGUGAGCAUGCGUUAUGACAUCUAUGUGUGCGCAGAGCUGCAGCACGGGAAGGAUGUGCUGCCCAUAGGGGUGGUUUAAAAAAAAAAGAAAGACUGAGAUGCUCUAGUUCUGCCUGUGCUGCUGCCUUACGGUGAUGACGGUGAGGGAAAACUGGAAGGCAGAGCAAUGUUCAGGAUAGGCCAGUAAGUAAUUCAGACUGGAAAGGACCUCAGGAGGUGUCUGGUGAAACCUGCUGCUCAAAGGAGGCUUGGCCACAGAAUUAGAGCAUGUUGCUCAGGGCUUUGUUCUCUUAGGUCUGGAAAACCUCGACUACGCAGACUGCAGUCCCUCCGGGCAGCCUGCUGCAAUGCUGGACUGCAGGAAUGAGGAAGCUCUGCAGGCCAGAAGUCUUUCUGUGCCUCUGCUUUGUGCAUAUGGUAAGGUGUAAAGCCACAGAAAAGUCACUUGUUCACAGGUGGGUUAUGGAGAUGCUGGAGAACAAAAGGAGUGGCCUCAGCCAUAAUGAAAUUAGCUGGUUUAUCUGUGCACACCCAGCACUUGAUAUUGAUAACAUAUUGUUCUAUUUCCUUAGUAACUCGUGUUAUGGCAACAGCUGCCUGCCUGUUUGCAGCCAGCAGGUAAGCUGGGGGUGAGGGGAAGUCUGGGGCUGAGGGGCUGCUUCACCAGCAGUGGGGAAUAAAGGGGUAUUGACCUCCAAACUCCUCACAGACAUUGUGUGAGACUUGGUCACUGGGGGCUGCUAUGGACACCUGCUGAGGAGGGGCUUGAGGAUGUGGCUUUGUAUUGCAAAAUAGCAACAACUUGGAAGCCUCAGACUGGUCACCACAUGAAAGAAUGUGGUUAAUGUGCUGUAUUGGGCCUUGUUGGACUUGGUUGACAGCAGACUUCUUGUGUAACCUUAGGCGAGUCAGUUAGCUCUUCCAUAUUGUAGUUCCCAUCUGUGAAAUGUGUAUAGCAAGGUUUAACUGAACCAUGAGCUCUCUGGUGGAGGUGGCUUCAUUGAGCAUUGCCAAAUGGAGCUUUUGAGCUGUAGAGUCCUGGCUGCAGUGGGUGAUGUGUAGCUUUUUUAACUUCAUGUGUCCUCUGGUCUGUGUUCCUUCUCAACUGGUACUCUGGGCAUAGGGUGUGGAGAUCACUUUGGCUGUGUAUGCUCCUGGGACUUGCUUGCAAAGGAAUGUUUUGGCAUUCAGGUGCUGGGUUGGUGCUUCAGAAAGCUCCUUCAGGUGAAAUACUUGGCAAGUUUGUCUUCACGUCUCUGGAACUGUGGGAAGAUUUUUUUAAUUGGAAAAUCUGGUUCAGCCUCUUCCUAAUUUUCAGGAAAGACUGAUGGAAGGAUUAUGACCAGCCCUAAUUUUGCAAAUGAGGUAAGGAAGCAAAGCUAGUAUAAUAAAACCACAGGGUAAUGUGUCAUCUUGUGCCCUGUCUUCACUCACUAGGCGCACUGUUUAGUUGUAAUGAUGUGUGAACUUCUAUGCAAGUAAAUGUUCUGGAAUAUGUUUUGCCAAAGGAAAGAAAUCUCAGUAAUACUAGAUCUCAUGAUAUCUCCCUGCUGUUUGGGGCAUGCAAAUUAUGGGCGAGUUUCUAAUGUGUUAAGUUCCCACAAGCCUAAACUGAAUCCUUAAGGAGAAGCCAGUGGGAAAGAUGUUUCCCAGGACAGUGGUAUUUUUUUUGUCUAGCUUUGCAAAAAGUCUUUUUUUUUUUUUUUUUUUUAAAUGAGCAUCAAUAUUGUCUAACAUUCUUCCUCAUAGGAGCAAGAAGCAUGAACUUUCCUUUUGCAACAUUGCCUGCACAGGAGCUGGUGGAUUCAACCUGUUAGGAUUAGAUGUCAGGCUUUAGGGAUUUUCAAACUGAUGUCUUGAGCCUGAGUGACCACAUAGAUGUGCAUGAAAUGGGUUCAGGAGGCACUGCAGCAAGUGCAGCUGUGGUGUGUGUUUCAGAGACCACGAUGGCAGGAGGGAAAUCUUGCAGUGGCACCACACCUAUAUACAGAGGUGGAAAAGCCUAACCUGCUCAUCCUGCCCAUCUCCCAGCUCUCAUGUCAAACUGCCCUUCUGAUCUGUAUCAUUUUCCCAAGGGGCUGUUUUUCUAAAGUAAUACUCCCCUGAUCUGGCUGAUAACUGCCACUGUCCUUAUUUUUUUUAGCUUCCAAACACUGUAUCCCCCUACAGACAGUGAACCAGGCAUGAAGUAUUUGCCCUAUGUCUUUUUCCCAGGUAGACAUUGCUUUAGAUACUGCAGCUGGGUUAUACAAUUGCAGCUAGGUGGGGUCGGCCUUUCUUCUGCCAGAGGUAGGAAGGGAAAGUUGUUUUGUUGAGAUAAAGUGGGAUUUUCUCCAAUAGUUUGGUGUGUAAUAUGGCAUCCCUUUCUCAAUUGUGUUAUCUUUGGCAUUUAGGGAUGACUAUAGCUCUUCUCUUCAGGAAAGAGGCAGCGAGCGAAUCAGGGAUUUGGGAAUGCAUCAAUUUGAGCAGCUCCCUGUUCUCCAAAGAAAGGGAUUCAGAAUGAGCUCUGUGCACCCCAGGGAUCUGGCAGUUGGCAGUGUUGGGGGUGCUGAUUUGCAGCUUUUUGCUGGGUCCUUGUGGCACUGACCUUUGUGAACCUCUUGUGGGGUUUCUGUUGCUUUGCUGAGGCUCUGCCACUGGCUGCUGGCGUCUGUACAGCAGACAUCUUCCCCAGAUGUUCUCAAGGCUGUCAGCACCAAAAUUAGAGCAGUGAGUCGGGUGCCUGGGAGUACUGGGGAUGGCAGGGCUGCCCCAUGGUCCCCAGAGCAAUCCACCCAGCACAGCCUCAGGGUCACCUGGCAGGAUGAGGGUGGAACUGCAUUGAAAGGGAACAGUUUGUGCUUAGGAAUAACAGUCUGACCCAUGGCAUCAAGGCUGAAAGGGAAGAGGACAGAGCAUUGCGUUUUCUUUUUUUUAUUUGUGCUUUCUUGCCCUUGAUAGUGUCCUUUAUGGGCAGAAGCACAGACAAUUGAUUAUAGCUGUGCAUCACUCUGAUAACCAUUAAUUAUAAUUCACAAAAAGGGUUUAAAAAGCCAAUGGUGACGCAGUAACUGUGAUAAACUCCCUAAAUUUUCCUGGAGCUUUGUAUGAGGAAGGCCUCCUUGUUCUCUUGGUGAUCAUAAAUCCAUCAGGUAGGUAUGCAGGUCCUUAACAAUAUGCCGAUCAUUACAUGCAAACUUGCCAAUAUUUGUAAAAUACUCCAUUAUUUUGUUUAUCUGAAAUGUUGUCACUGAGGCUGUGGUUCAGGCAUCUGAAUAUUUGAGAUCCUCUUUAAAAAUGAAGACCAUCAGAGUAAAGGCAAAAAGAAAAAAAGACACCCUUUAUCCAGUGUCUUAAUUAAAACUAAUUAGUGAGAGCGAAAGUGUUUGCACUUCAUUAUUUUGGAGCUGACCUGUCUGAUCAAGGGACUGUGAGACUGUGAAGAAAAUUCAGCUCAGGGAUGAGCCCCUCUUGCAGUCUGCUAAGUGGUGUCUGUCGUCCUCCCCUCUCCAGUGAAGCUGUACUAAUCUGUCUGAAAGCUCACGCUCCCAAGGGCCUCCCAGUGCUGCAGCAGUGACCUGAAGGAGAGUGUAUUACUUGUUUUACUUUGGAGAAAAGCUGAAAGUCAGUUUUUUUCCUGGUCCAAAAACUCUGCAGAAGCAGCUUGUUGAAGUGCUAAAGGGCAUCUGAACCAAGAGGGACUUCUGUCCAUUGCCUUCAUCCUGAACGUGCCUGGCUCACGGUUGACAGAUCCAAGAGACCUGUUACGCCCUUUGCAAGUGCACAGCUCCUUUGAUGGCUGUGAGACGUGUAUUCAAGUUGGCCACGUUAAUCUCUGGGGUAAUUUCAGUGACUUUAAGUAGAAUUAAAUCAGGGCUGAAUUCACUCCUGCAUCUUUAUUUUUGCAAGUUAAUUUGGGUGGAAUCUACUUCUAAUUAUGCCUUACUUUGUGAUGCCAGGCCUGUGUGCGUGUCGUGUGGCAGCGGGCUCUGUGUACAAAAUGCAUUGAUACUGGAGGGUGUUUUGGUUUGGGAGGGCUUUUGGGAUGGCCAAUGCUUUUUGUCCCAGCUGAGGACGUUUUGAAAUCAAUUCAGCACUUUCAUAGAAUCAUAGAAUGGCUUGGGUUGGAAGGGAUCUUAAAGAUCAUCCAGUUCCAGCACUCUGUUUUGGGCUGGCUGGCAUCCACCAGAUCAGACUGCCCAAGGCCCCAUCCAACCUGGCCUUGAAUGCCUCCAGGGGUGGGCACCACAGCUCUCUGAGCAGCCCAUGUCAGGGUCUCACUGCCCUUUUGUCCCCACUGUUUGUGCUGAAAGGCCGUUCCUGAGUCUCAUGCCUCCUUUUCCUAGUUUCUAGCCUAACUGUCUUCAUAUCUACUCUGUGUUCAUAUUGUUAUCCCUUUCUGCCUGCUGAACAUUUUGCUUUCUCUACCAUCUUGUUGCCCUAGGCAAAUGCAGCUGAGUCCUGAAGGAAUACAGAUCUGUUGAUGUGAAUCCUGGAAUUAUGCAAUAAUUACAUCCCUGUAAUGCUAAUAACAAUAUCUAACCUCAUGAUGUGUGCUACAGAUGUCAUGAGCAAUGCUGCAGAAUGAAUCUUAAGGCUCUCUACGACACUGAAUGGUUGUUUCCAACUGUUCUCCCAGGAAGACAAGUGUUGAUGCUGAGGAGUGCAUGUUGUUUCUGUCUGGAUGUGUGGCUUGGGCACUAUGUCCCCUGCAUCACCAAGCCAGAGCUGCACUUCUCCUGGCAUAGGACAGCCUGUGCACCACAGCUGUGCCAACUCAAGUCCAGUUCCCACUCCCUGAUCCUGGAGGCAGAAAGGAGGAGAUGACCUGGUACUUGAAGUGACGGGGCUGGGGUAAGAGAAUUGUAGAAUAUUCUGAGAUGGAAAGAUCAUCAAGUCCAACUCCUGGCUCCACACAAGACCAGCCAGAAAUCAAACCAUAUGUCUGAGAAGGAUAAGGAGUCUGAGGCUGUGCUUGAGGUCUCAUGAUAUGUAACUGGCCCAGCAGAGCAUAUGGAUUCCAAGCACAGUUUCUUUUCACUUUGUUUUUAAUCAUUCCUCAGGCUACCGAGCUGUUCAUUAAGUGCUGUGAAGUACAUUGGCAGCAGCAGACUUGUUAAUGCUGCUGUGCUGGCAGGUUUGUUACCUUGCACAGUUGGGAUGCAAAUACCUCUCCUGAAGUGCUACUGCAUCGUCACACACUGUGCCUUUGAUUCUACUCAUCCAAAUGUCCUGAGCUGGAGAGGGGAUCAUCAGCUCCAGUUUGGAGCUGGAGUGCUGGGCACUGCUUGCGUUGGAGACUUCAACUGCCCUUGUGCUGGGCAGUUGCAGGUGGGUGCUGGCUCCCUGUGCCCAGUUACACGUCCCAUUGGCUCCUGGUUAGCAGCAAGCCUGUAGGUACAGUAGGUUUCCAAGCUCCCAGGCUGCUUUCUGCCCCCUCCUCCCAGUCCCUUGCUCUUCUGCCACUUCUUAUGCAGUGUUUCCCAGCUACAAGAUCCCAGCCAGCUCUGGUGUUUCCUGUGGCUGACAACAGCGCUUCCUUGCAUUUGAGGGAGGAAUAAGAAACCCUGUUAUUUUUGUGGUACUUGUUCAUGUGUUCUACUUGAGAAAGCAUUUGUUAAAAGGGUCAGUAGGGUUAGAAAAGAUAAAUUUGGCCCCUGGGCAUGCUGUAACUUGAUGGGCACGAACUUUCUGCAUUGCUGGAGAGCCUCCUUCAGAAUCUUGUAGUGUUGUCAUAUCAAAGGCUGGCACUGGCAAUAGCAGCACCAUCCACACUCACUUUUCUUUCUGGCAAAACAAUUGCUGGGAAACUAUUUGUAUUAUUUGCCUAAGGAUGACUAAUACUUGAGAGUAGAUGUCUGUGCAAUGUAGGGUUGUGCCUCUGAGGUCUCAGCAUUUGCCCUCUGGUUUCUUUUCCUAAGAACACAGCCAUCUCUGAAAAGAUAAUAAUGAAAAAUACUUAACAGGAAUCCUUUUUAUUCCCCCUUUUUGGCAGUGACUCAUCCUGAAAUUAAGUUCUUAAAAGAUGCCCAUCUCAGUUGAGGCAAAACUGGAGCCUAUGUGAUGAGCAGGAUAAGCCCUGGAGGCCCUCAUCUCCUCUGUGACUGCUCUCCUGUGUACUUUGAGGAGUUUCUGUCCCAGCACUUGAUUGAGAGGCAGAUGUUCAGCAUUCUCCUCUUUUCACAGUGCUUGGGCUGCCAAAGGCUGGUCUGCGCUCCUGGAAGCUGCUGAAGAUGGCUGGAGCAUCCCUGGGCUCUGAUGGUGAGGGACAGCUAGACUUCCAGCAUGUUGUAUGGCCAAAGUGCAGAUGGCUCCUUGCACGGCUCUAAGCAGCUCACUGUCAUGAAGCAGCCUGCUAGAGCACCCCAAAGUAGUGUUAAUUCCCUUUGUUUCAUAUUCAUUCCCUGUGGAAUGAAGCCACCAGGAACUAAGUUUUUGACUUGUGCAUGCCAUUUUUGAGCACUGUAUAUUACUCUGAUUUGGAGGGCGUUGGCCUGAGCAUCCUUCUGUUGCUCAUGAAGAUUUCAAGCUCUGACAGCUUUCUUCUUUUUUUUUCUUUGGUAAGCAGAUUUUAUGCAGUUGCAAUCCUACUCUUCUCUCCCAUCACAUUUCAGGACAACGCCUCCUUCCUUCCUAAAGAAGCUAUUAGCUUGCAUGCUCUGAACCAAAAUGUUAGCUCAGCUGUAACAGAUGGAUGGAUAUGGGUAUCAUGUGGCAAGUUAAUGAAUAAUAUCUAUCACCUAAUUUCCCGAAAGUUGGCAUGUAAUGAGGCUGGUGCCAUGAUUAUUACCUCUGUAAAUCAUGACUUUAAGAUGAUGACAAUCCUGCCUGCCCCAAGGAUACGGGACAGCCAGACAAUGAUGUACAUUUAAUUGCUGUGUGAGAGAGGCAAUGUGUUAGGGAGCAUGCCAUUGCCUCUAAAUUAUCUUCUGCAGCACAGACGUUGGAGGAGAUUAGUGCAGAUUGGAGGGGGAGGGAGGGAUCUGCUGUGCCUCUUGGUGUUGUGUGUAUGUGUUUCUUCACUUGUUGUGGUCCGUUCAACUCCCAGGUCUGCAGCUCUGAUACCUCCUCAGGAUGGCGGAAGCAUUUGAAUGGAUCUGGGAAGGGGUUCAUCUAGAAAAGCAUCUUCAACUAUUGUCCAUCUAAACAUCUCCAUGUUUACAGAUGUUUUCUUUGUGGUUUUUUUUGAGUGUUUGGGGAUGGAUGCUUCCUGGGGCAGAAGACUGUGGUCUACCAAAUGGAAGACCUAAGCCUGGGGGGGUUAAAGCUGUCAAAUCUCUGCCCAAACUUCCAACACAGGAAAUUGCUGUCCCUACUUUGUUCUUGCCACAAACCACGGCUGGCCAUGAAGCUGAGUCUUCGGCAAUUAACUUGUGCAUGUUCACUUCCUACCAAGGAGGGGAAGGCAUCCAUGUUGGCAGUCCCUCCAAGACUGUCCCAUUGUGGAUAUAUUGACUGAACCCCCUGAGGUGUCUUUUAUUAAGUACUACACUGCAACAGCUGACAAGGAUCUGGCUGGGCUGUGAACAAGUCAAAUAUUGCAACUGACCUGUGGAAAGUAGUAUGGUCUGUCUUUGCUGCUGGUUAAUCCUGAUGUUUUUUACUUCAUGCUCUCCUUGCUUGAGAGCUUCAACAGAUUUGUUUAUUCUUUCCUUCUUUUCAUUCUGCCAUGGUCCCUCUGAGGCACUGGUCUGCAAAAUCACAGGCUGGCUGGGUGGGGGAGCCAUGCCACUGCUCCAGUCCUCCCCUACCCUAAGUGCUUCUAAAGCUGUGUGGUGAGCCGAAGUAAAAUGGCCAUCAGGCUGUGGCCAAAAACCUUCUGCCCUGGAGUCCUGACCAGCAGUGCUAGGUUGCCAGAGGAAUGGGCUAACAGGCAGCCGAGUGGUGGGACAGUGUGCUUGGAAGGGAUGCAGGGACAUAGUGAUGUGGGCUGGAGUUGCUUCCUUGCUUCUUUCUAUAUCCAGCUCUUGCACAGAGAUGAGCUCAUUUAUCAUGGUUUGCCCCCAUGUCUGUCUCUCUUCCAGCCGAAUUGCUUGACUCCCAGAGUGGUGAGCACUUGCCCUCCUCUGGCCCUGGAUUGCAGGGCCACCAGUGAAAACAUUUAGGAGUAUUUCACUGUUUUUGUGUAAUAAGGCUUCUCUUCUCCAAAGUAAGCAAACACAAACUUGUCAAUGAUUUGCGGUGUUGUAAGACAUUCUCAAACCUGCUGAGGGGGUGGUAACUGCUGAUCCAGCGAUGGUGCAGCUCAUGGGUUUUCCCAAGCAACAUCAGUUUCUUCAGCACAGUUCUGUGCAGUGAAUUGGCUGCUGUCGGUCUGAGCUCUGUUUAGCCUUUUUGUCACUAAAGACAUUGUAAUGCUUAUGGAAUUAGUGAUUGCGUAAGCUGGCUGUCUCUGAGUGCGCUUUGCUGUGGUGUAAUGCUCACUUAGGGUUAGGUAGAGCAGGCAGCUGAGCAGGGGGCAUGACAAAAGUACAGAUCUGCAGUCGAGAGACUUAAAUUUAACGCACCCUGCAGGAAAACACAGAUUUUGGAGUUUUCACAUAUUCUCUCUAGCUCACUAGAUUAGAGGGAGACCGUGGGAAAGCUGCCAGGGCUGGGAGUUAAAUCCAGCCUUUGUAAAUCCUUUCAUCUGACUGGCAGAUUCAAACAAUUGAGUAUUACCCCGUAUAUUAUUGUUAGUUGAUUAAAUUCCUGUUGGUCAACACAAAUAGCGCUGUGCAGGCAGUGUGCUUGUGAGAUGGAAAUUGGCAUUGCAAAGCACGUUGUGCAGCAAGGCGGGGGUGACUCUUCCAUUAUAACUGUGUUUAGGGUACAUUUGGGGGAGAGAGGGUGGGAGAGAGGACAAAUCCAGCUGUCCAAACAGCUUCCAUGGCUUUCCUUACACAUCUGUGAAGGCUGAGCCCACUGUGAGCCAGGGUCAGGAUCAGGCCUUUGCCUUCCUGGCUGCAGGGGGUGAGCAAGCAGCCUCUGUGGGGGUCUGAUAACUGAGCACAAGUAUGAGAAGGGUGGGGAAACGUGGGGGUGGAUUGAGCACAAACAGUUAGGAUUAAUGGAAUGAAAUUAGGUGAAGGAGAAAGUCAUUGGGAAAUGUUUCCUCAAGGUGAAAGCUAUUAGGUUCUGGAAUAGUUUCUCUGGGAAGGUAAUUGUGUGGCUUGCUUGCUUAGAUUGUGUUUAAAUAAGGACAGGAGGAAAAUCUGCUUUGGGGAAACCUGAAAGUCCCUCCAUGGACACAGGUAAUUUCUGAGACUGGUCUCUUGGUACGGCAGGAGCUUCUGUUAUCCACUGGAUUUGGAGAAACUGAGGCUGACAUCUCUACCAGGAAGGAAGACAUUUGUGUCUUGAUCUCUUCGUAUAUCCCUUCCUUUUGUCCCAGUUCUGCCAUGUUAUGGGUACACAGAACGCUGGGCUCUUUCACUGACUCAUGGAUGUGACACUGCAGAGCAAGCAGGGGUCCGUGCUUGCAACUUAUUCCUGUGAACUUGUGCUUUAAAGCCAAAAUACCAAAUCAGCAUUCAAAGCUGAAUAUGCAGAAGUGGCUCCUGUAGUUAUUUGUGCAGUUUGAGCAACUGGACUGGGAGCUAACCAUGGAGGCAGCUUUUGGCAACCCAGAGCUGUGCGUGUUAACCUUUAGGGAGCGGUCAGCUUAGUCCAAAGGGCUUCAGCAAGAGGUAAUAAACCUGUUAAUGAAUAACAGUGGAGGCUGACUGUGUUGCAUGGUUUAAUUGUUGAACGCGUCCUCAGGGAAAUGUAUCCUUAGGUUUGCACAGUCCUUUUGCAAAGCCGUAGCAUGUAUUUGUUUAGCUUGUGGAAUCAGAAAGUCUAUUCUGAUUACCUGAUCAUUGUGGGAUUGAUUUUUAUUAUCCCUGGUGGGCUCAUGCCUGGGCUGCCCUCAGCUGCCCUGUGCAAGGUGACAGUGCAGUUCUCCCAGGAACGUGAGUUUCCCCAAUAGCCAGGGACCUGUUGGAUGGGAUGCUCCCCACUCAUGUUCCCUUUGCAGUGGAAUUGACUCAGUGUCCUCCUAGAAGAUCAGUGCUGGGAAAGGCUGGCCUUGUCAUGCAUUCCAGAAAACCCCUGGGUUUGAGUGGUAGCCUGGAUGAUAGCAAAGCACAGUUAUCAGAGAGAUAUGAAAAUUGACUUGCUCUUUCUAAAUGAUUGCUCCUGCUUUUAUUGUACUAACGUUGUACUAUUAACUGAUUUAAAACAGUUAUUUCCUAUUGUCUCAUUGCAUCAGUGCAGCCCAGUGAUACCUUCUAAUCUACUCCUCUAUCUUAUUUCUACUUCUUUAAUAACAUAGUGUCUAAGGUAUUAUCUAGCCUUUCUUUCCAGGCAUUAAUUAUACGUUAGCUGUAUCCAGAUUCUUAAACUAUGCCACGUGUCAUUCUAUGCAGGUAUCUGGAAUCCCUGUUAUGCUUAGUUUUAGGUUAUAGCAUAUUUUUGGCUGGCCUACUGCUGUUUCCAGCUGGCCCUGACAAACCAUCCACCAGCACCACGUAGCCAACACAUUGCACUUGACAGCCCUUUUCCUGUUUAAUUUCCUUUUGCAAGCUCCUCCAGCAGGGCUGCAGGUGCUGGCAGAAGACUGCAGGUAGAGAGAGGAGUAUCAGUACUUUCUGAAAAGAGGAUUUUUCCCCAUGCCUGUGUAAGAACACAGGCAAUGGUGUGUGAUUUGAUGGCAAGAAGGGGCUCCUUCAUGACCCAAUUACUUGUUGUUAAAUUAUAUCUCAGGUGAAAGCUGGCAGGAGUCAGAUUUAUGCCUUCUUUAUGCUCGACACUGAAGGACUGCACAGUAGAGAAACUGUAAAUACUUCAUAGUUUUUAUGUGUGGCUGUUAUUCCUGGCUGUGCUCAGUCCUCGGAGGUGUACAGAAGACACGCACCUUCCUCCCAUGGUCAUGCUGCCACUGGAAUGUGUUUAUCAAAACUGAGUUAAAUCACUAGGCAUUUGGAGCGUGUAAUGUUUAACUACAGCUGGCAGAACAACGGUGUGAGUCUCUCUGUUUUUCUGAGUCUGACUGGAAAGGAGGAACUGCACAAUGGGAAGAGGGAAGAGUUAUCUCAGCAAGUACCCAAAGCCACCACUUGCAUUUCUGGCGGUCUCCUCUCCUCUUCUGAGCCGCAGUGCGAAACCUGUGCUCUGAAAGUCUUCAUAACUGCUGGCAGAGCAGUUGUGCUUGGUGCUCUGGCCUGUAGUAGAGAUUAGCUUCCUUGCUGGGACCCCCAAGAAGCACUUUGUCACUGGGAGAUCUGCACAUCAAGCCAGCUAAUGGCAAAGUGUGCCCAUAUCCCAAACCUAGCUAUGGGUGAACACUGGGACCUGUUCUAGUGCUUUGCCUAUCUGGUGUGAGCCACUGGUUUAAGAGCAGUAGUUUCUUCUGACAAAUAGGAAAUGAUGCAGGGUUUCUUCCUGCAGUGCAGCCAAGCUCCAUAUUGUUGGCCAUAGAAAUUUUUGUCUUUGACACCAGUGCACACAAUCCCCAACUCAAGAAGAGCUUAGCGUGCAGGGAUUUAUACGUUCCCCAGUGAUUGCCUUAAGCCAUAGGCUUGUGGCUAUUUUAGGCUUUCUCUGAGGUUCUAAUAGAAAUUUCAU